AAACCAGGAAGCUCCGAGUUUUUCAACCAAAAAUCAAAAAAACAAUUUGAGAUUUAAUUUUUCGUACGGAAAAAGAAAAACAAAUGCCGAAGUGUGGAUGUGACGCUGCCUGCAAUUGCAGUCUCAACAACUGCUCAUGCAAACGUGAUGUUGGUCCCAUGAAAGAGAACUUUGAGGCAGGUGGGUGUGACUGCAAAUGCUCGUGCGUGGACAAUUGCAAGUGUGGGUGUGGGUCAUGCAGCUGCUAAAGACAUAAUUUAAGGCUAUGAUUUGAAAUAUGUAUGAAUGGGUUGUGUGUGUUGUGUUUGUGUGUAAGGUGUUCGACGAAAUGCCGCUUACAAAUACCUGAGAAAUAAAUGGCACACUCAUUCCUAUUUUAAUGCAUCA